rnacentral:rRNA from 1 species
GACGAACGCUGGCGGCGUGCUUAACACAUGCAAGUCGAACGGAAAGGCCCUGCUUUUGUGGGGUGCUCGAGUGGCGAACGGGUGAGUAACACGUGAGUAACCUGCCCUUGACUUUGGGAUAAUUUCAGGAAACUGGGGCUAAUACCGGAUAGGAGCUCCUGCUGCAUGGUGGGGGUUGGAAAGUUUCGGCGGUUGGGGAUGGACUCGCGGCUUAUCAGCUUGUUGGUGGGGUAGUGGCUUACCAAGGCUUUGACGGGUAGCCGGCCUGAGAGGGUGACCGGCCACAUUGGGACUGAGAUACGGCCCAGACUCCUACGGGAGGCAGCAGUGGGGAAUAUUGCACAAUGGGCGGAAGCCGGAUGCAGCAACGCCGCGUGCGGGAUGACGGCCUUCGGGUUGUAAACCGCUUUCGCCUGUGACGAAGCGUGAGUGACGGUAAUGGGUAAAGAAGCACCGGCUAACUACGU